rnacentral:rRNA from 1 species
GUCCACGCUGUAAACGAUGGGUACUAGGUGUCGUGGGUAUUGACCCCUACGGUGCCGUAGCUAACGCAUUAAGUACCCCGCCUGGGGACUACGGUCGCAAGAUUAAAACUCAAAGGAAUUGACGGGGGCCCGCACAAGCGGUGGAGCAUGUGGUUUAAUUCGACGCAACGCGAAGAACCUUACCUGGGUUAGACAACGGCGGAACGCCUCAGAGAUGAGGUUUUUCCUUCGGGAACUGCCGGUUCAGGUGCUGCAUGGCUGUCGU